rnacentral:rRNA from 1 species
GUGGAUUAGUGGCGCACGGGUGAGUAAUGCAUAGAUAACAUGCCCUUUAGUUUGGAAUAGCCACUAGAAAUGGUGAUUAAUACCAAAUACUACCUUACGAGGGAAAGAUUUAUCGCUAAAGGAUUGGUCUAUGUCCUAUCAGCUUGUUGGUGAGGUAAAGGCUCACCAAGGCUAUGACGGGUAUCCGGCCUGAGAGGGUGAACGGACACACUGGAACUGAGACACGGUCCAGACUCCUACGGGAGGCAGCAGUAGGGAAUAUUGCUCAAUGGGGGAAACCCUGAAGCAGCAACGCCGCGUGGAGGAUGAAGGUUUUAGGAUUGUAAACUCCUUUUGUGAGAGAAGAUA